UAGAGUAGAUGUUGUGCGUAAAGUGUCACAGGAUGGGAUGUUGCCUGUGAACGAAGGCUAUGCCGCGGUACAAUGUCGCGUCCGCUA
rnacentral:ncRNA from 1 species